GACGAACGCUGGCGGCGUGCUUAACACAUGCAAGUCGAACGGAAAGGCCCUGCUUUUGUGGGGUGCUCGAGUGGCGAACGGGUGCGUAACACGUGAGUAACCUGCCCUUGACUUUGGGAUAACUUCAGGAAACUGGGGCUAAUACUGGAUAGGAGCUCCUGCUGCAUGGUGGGGGUUGGAAAGUUUCGGCGGUUGGGGGUGGACUCGCGGCUUAUCAGCUUGUUGGUGGGGUAGUGGCUUACCAAGGCUUUGACGGGUAGCCGGCCUGAGAGGGUGACCGGCCACAUUGGGCCUGCGAUACAGCCCAGACUCCUACGGGAGGCAGCAGUGGGGAAUAUUGCCCAAUGGGCGGACGCCUGAUGCAGCAACGCCGCGUGCGUGAUGACGGCCUUCGGGUUGUAAACCGCUUUAGCCUGUGACGAAGCGUGAGUGACGGUAAUGGGUAAAGAAGCACCGGCUAACUACGUG
rnacentral:rRNA from 1 species